rnacentral:rRNA from 1 species
AUACAAAGGGUGCGAGCGUUAAUCGGAAUUACGGGGCGUAAAGCGCGCGUAGGCGGCUGAUUAAGUCAGAUGUGAAAUCCCAGGGCUCAACCUUGGAACUGCAUCUGAUACUGGUCAGCUAGAGUUUAGGAGAGGGAAGUAGAAUUUCAGGUGUAGCGGUGAAAUGCAUAGAUAUCUGAAGGAAUACCAGUGGCGAAGGCGGCUUCCUGGCCUAAAACUGACGCUGAGGUGCGAAAGCGUGGGUAGCAAACAGGAUUAGAAACCCCGGUAGUCC